rnacentral:miRNA from 1 species
AGCUGGUAAAUUGGAACCAAAU